UUCAUCUUUGUGUUCCCGCCCAUCUGCACAGUCUCUCACACUCGACCAAUCAGUAAAGCUCUAUUACACUAACCACAUCCUAUUCCCCAAUCUCCAUUUUCAAAUUCUCUCCCCCUGUCUGCCAUUCUCACGGGUCACUCUCUCCGACAAAUCGAAACCCUAGCGAAGCCAAGCCGGCCACAAUGAACCACUACCACAUCUACCAAGCCAUUGGCCGCGGCAAAUACUCGACCGUGUACAAGGGGAGGAAGAAGAAGACGAUCGAGUACUACGCGAUUAAGAGCGUCGAUAAGUCGCAGAAGAGCAAGGUUCUUCAGGAAGUUAGGAAUCUCCACUCUAUGGAUCACCCAAAUGUACUCAAAUUUGUUUCCUGGUAUGAAACCUCCGCUCAUCUGUGGUUAGUUUUGGAGUACUGUGUUGGAGGAGAUCUGAUGGCCUUAUUACGACAGGAUAGUCAACUACCUGAAGAUUCAAUUCACGAUCUCGCCCGUGAUCUUGUCAAAGCUUUGCAGUUUUUACAUUCCAAGGGAAUUAUCUACUGCGAUUUGAAGCCGUCAAACAUCCUGCUGGAUGAAAAUGGACGUACAAAGCUAUGCGAUUUUGGGUUGGCUAGAAAAUUGAGUGAUAUUUCAAAAACUCCUUCGUCAUCGUUGCCACAAGCAAAACGUGGAACACCAUUUUACAUGGCUCCAGAGCUGUUUGAUGAUGGGGGUGUCCAUUCUUAUGCAUCUGAUUUCUGGGCCCUUGGUUGUGUACUGUACGAGUGUUAUGCAGGGAGGCCUCCCUUUGUGGAAAAAGAAUUUACUCAACUAGUAAAAUCCAUCCUCUCAGAUCCAAUUCCACCUCUCCCGGGUAAUCCAAGCCGUCCUUUCGUCAAUCUAAUCAAUUCUUUGCUGGUAAAAAAUCCAGCUGAAAGAAUUCAUUGGCCAGAGCUUUGUGGACAUGCUUUUUGGAGAAGUAAAUUCACUUCAGUGUCUCUACCUCCUCAGCCUGCUUUUGAUAAUAUGAUAGAACUAUAUGCUAAACCAUGUCUUUCAGAACGUAAUGGUGAUAAAUCUCAUCAAAACAAGACCCCUCCUAAGUAUCGUGAAAAAGAUGUAAAAGGGGCUCUGAAGCAGGAUGAGAAUUCUACCUUUGGAUCACGAGGCUCUGAGACACCAGGCAAAGGUACACCAAGUGGCCGUAGAACUCAAAGCAAGGCUUCUGGCAGAGUAGUUGAGGAGAAACAGAAAGAUCGUCCUAGUGCUACCAGAGGUGCAAAUCUUUUAAGGCUUUCAAGAAUAGCAAAGUCAAACUUACAGAGGGAGAAUGAGAAGGAAAACUACAGGAGGCCCUUGCCUAAUAGCUCUGAGAAUGAUGCUGAAGUCAAAUUUGAGAACACUGAUAUGGAACUUGAUUUUAAUGAGAAUACUGAAGAUGAGGCACAAGAUGAAUCUGAUAAUGCAACUUGUAUGCCUGAAGACAAGUUGUCAAGUCAAGAUCAGCAUCAGGGGAAAGUGGAAGAGAUUGAAAAUAACACACAACAGUUUGAUACUCCAUCUGUUGUUAAUAUGCCUGCCUCAGAUGAACCAAAAGCACUUGAUCAGGACUCAUCUUCAGAGCAUAUUGAAGUGGCUGCUCCCCCUCCCAGUGUCAGUCCUCAACUUAAAAACCAGAGAGUUAAGGAAGGUUCAGGAUCAGUCAUUGACUCUGAUUCUACAAAAUCGUCUAAUAGCAUUUCCCAGGUUCUUUGGCAUCCAUCUGAUCUCUCAGUCAGACCUGUAAUGCCCAGCAGAAAAGCUGAUAAACUGUCGGAGGUGAUUCCUUCACUUCCCUUUGAGGCACUGCAAGCAUCUGAUUAUUUGAAGAUGCCUAAAGAAAAAUUGGAUGCCAUGAAUAAUAAGAUUAUAGCUAUUUUAAAUGGAAACACUAGCGUUGGGGAGAAGCAGAAUUUGAUUAGAUACCUUGAGAUGCUGAGCAGUAAUGCUGAUAUAGCCAAUAUCUUUACCAAUGGGCCAAUAAUGCUCAUGCUUGUUAAAAUGGUCCGACAAUCUAAGGCUUUUGCGUUGCGUGUUCAACUUACGUCACUUAUUGGCUUGCUGAUACGGCAUUCGACUUUUAUCGAAGACGAUUUGGCACAUUCUGGAAUUUUAGGUUCACUUACUGAUGGCCUUAGAGACAAGCAGGAAAAGGUGAGGAGGUUUUCUAUGGCUGCUUUAGGUGAGUUGCUAUUCUAUAUAUCAACUCAAAAUGAUCAUAAUAGAGACAACAAUCCACCAGAAUCUCCAUCAAAGGACAAUAAGUCUGCAUCUGGCUGGCAGGUUUCAAAUUCAUUGAUUUCAUUGGUGUCGUCAAUUUUACGAAAAGGUGAGGAUGAUAUAACUCAACUUUAUGCACUGAGGACAAUUGAGAAUAUAUCCGGUCAAGGAGGGCACUGGGCAGCCCGUUUCACCAGCCAGGAUGUGAUUGGUAACCUGAGCUACAUAUACAGGGCUGCAGGGAAACAGGAGAACACGAGACUCACAGCAGGAUCAUGUUUGGUCCGCCUGGUUCGUUUCAGUCCUCCCAGCAUUCAAUCAGUUAUAGAGAAGCUUUCCUCUAAGGACAUAGCAUCUGCCCUUGUCAAGGGCAGUCCACGUGAGCAGCAAAUCAGCUUAAACCUUUUAAACAUGGCCAUGCUUGGAAGCCACAUGUUCACCAAUAUUGGUCGGUAUCUUCUACCACUGGUGGAGGACAAGAACCUCGUACCAAGCCUUGUGUCUCUCAUUGAGCAGGGAAGUGAAGUUUUGAAGGGAAAGGCACUCGUAUUCGUGGCUCUCCUUUGUAAAAAUGGUAGGAGAUGGCUGCCACACUUUUUGUGCAAUGCUAGGUUACUUUCCACGGUGGACAGACUAGCAAAAGAGAAGGACAACUUUGUGCAGCAGUGUUUAGAUGCAUUUGUGAAUGUUGUGGUAUCCACUAUACCUGGCUUACUGGAUACCAUAACUGGAGAUAUUCAACAAAUGAUGGGAGGAAGGCGCCAUGGGCAUAUCUCUGCCCUUAGCAGUCGAGCUGCUCCAAAGACUAAUGUUCAUAUGUUUCCUGUUGUUCUUCAUCUACUUGGGAGCUCAUCUUUUAAGCGCAAGGUGGUGAGCCAUCAGGUCCUGCAGCAGUUGGCAAAUUUGGUCAAACUGGUGGAGACCCCAUUUCAGGGCAGGGAUGACUUCCAAAUAACCCUUCUACGAGUUCUUGAGUCUGUGACAGAAGAGUCCGCUGCAAUUCUUGAAAACCCUAUCAUUUUUAUUCGUGAAAUCCUCCCCAGCUUGGCUGUUCUGUAUAAGGGAAACAAGGAUGGUGAUGCCAGAUUUUUGUGCCUGAAACUUUUGUUUGAUGUAAUGGUCAGUUUUCUGAAUGAACCAUUUGACAAUGAUCAAAGAUCAGAGGAUUUGAAGUCCAUAUCUAAUACACAUUUCCUCCCUCUGUACCCCACCUUGAUUGAUGAUGAAGAUCCCAUUCCGAUGUAUGCACAGAAGCUUCUUGUGAUGUUCAUUGAGUUUAACUACAUUAAAAUCUCAGACAUUCUACAUUUGAAGACAAUCUCACAAUGCUUUGAGUUUUUGCUCGGUGAUCUCUCCAGUGCAAAUGUAAGCAAUGUUCAGUUGUGUUUGGCUCUUGCAUCUGCUCCUGAAAUGGAAUCCAAGUUACUUUCUCAACUGAAAGUAGUCAGAAGGAUUGGAAACUUCUUGGAAUUUGUAUAUGCAAAGGAUAUGGAAGAUUUCCUUGAACCAACUCUUGGCCUGUGUAGGGCUUUUCUUCUACGUUCCAUCAAUGGCAGAAAAGGGGUCAUCUACUCAAAAGAACCAGAUCUCUUAAGUGAUAGUUCUGCUGAUACAAGCAGUGUAGUUGAUCAGCAGCAAUGCAUAAGAGACAUAAUUGACUUUGGUAGCAAUGUAGGUGUCUUGCUAGAGUUAAGUGCGUACAAUGAAGCAAAUGUUGCAGAUUUAGCUUCUGAAUGUAUGGUAUUAUUGCUUAAGGCCGCUCCGAGGGAAGCCACCACUGGUCUUCUGACUAAUCUCCCAAAGGUCAGUGCGAUUCUCGAGUCCUGGCGGAGGGGCAUCUCUCACUUGCUUGUGCUGCGGAUCCUGCAUACUCUUGGUUAUUCUUGUAGGCAAUAUCUUUCACAAGCGAUGAUAUUGUCGAUAUCUGUACCUGAGAUUUCAAGGAUUGAAGCCAUUGUUUCCGAGCUUAAAAGUUCAGGUGUAUCUGGUCUAGCUAAUGCUGCUUUGCUUGUGGCACAGGAGUUGCAGCGGCUGCCUCGAUGCAUUUGAGGCACAGUGCGUUUUUUGGGGUUUCAGGAAAUUAAGAAUAUGUUUGCUGAACUCAGACGAGGAGUCAAUGACCCUUGUGUUAAGGUUAUAUUUUCCAGUUCUUUUGAGAAACUACAAGGAUUUCAUGUCAUAUGAGCCAUGAGGUGGCACAUGGCUUUGCGCCACACCGUAUGGGAAAAAAAAUUAUUUCCUUUCCGAGUGCAUGUGACACUACUUUUUUUUUUUUGGUAAUUACAUGCGAGAAAACCAAAUGACAAUGAAUCAGUUGUCUCACAGCUUGAAGAAUCAGACACAAACAUCUCACAUGUUGGCUGAUCAAAGUCAAAUUUAAUAGUGAUGUAUUAGGUGACCUGAUUUGUCUGUUUCCACUGGCAGCAUCUUUGCUCCAAAGAGGCAAUCAUACUUUGCUUUUCUACGUCACACUGAGCCAUUGGUCCAUUUAAUUAUG